rnacentral:rRNA from 1 species
CGGGAGGCAGCAGUGGGGAAUUUUCCGCAAUGGGCGAAAGCCUGACGGAGCAAUACCGCGUGAGGGAAGACUGCCUAUGGGUUGUAAACCUCUUUUUUCAGGGAGGAAUCAAUGACGUGUACCUGAAGAAUAAGCAUCGGCUAACUCCGUGCCAGCAGCCGCGGUAAGACGGAGGAUGCAAGUGUUAUCCGGAAUCACUGGGCGUAAAGCGUCUGUAGGUGGUUUAAUAAGUCAACUGUUAAAUCUUGAGGCUCAACUUCAAAAUCGCAGUCGAAACUAUUAGACUAGAGUAUAGUAGAGGUAAAGGGAAUUUCCAGUGGAGCGGUGAAAUGCGUAGAUAUUGGAAAGAACACCGAUGGCGAAAGCACUUUACUGGGCUAUUACUAACACUCAGAGACGAAAGCUAGGGUAGCAAAUGGGAUUAGAUACCCCAGUAGUCCUAGCCGUAAACAAUGGAUACUAGAUGUUGAACAGAUCGACCUGUGCAGUAUCAAAGCUAACGCGUUAAGUAUCCCGCCUGGGAAGUAUGCUCGCAAGAGUGAAACUCAAAUGAAUUG